CUCACACUCACACAUCCAUACGCAGAGUGGCCCGUGAAACGACAGCCUCCCAAGGCCCUCUACGAGUCACGCUCUCUGCUUCCCAGUUUUCAAUUAUCUUGGGCAUAUACCUUGGAACAGAACCGCCAGAUCUCAGGUCACUCUACACUUAACUUUCUGAUGAAGUGCCUGUUUCCUCAGCAACUGCACCAUUUCACAGUCCCACCAGGGCACGAGGGUUCCAGAUUCCCCACAUCCUGCAUUAACACUUAUCGUCUGUCUUUGAUUUCAGCCAUCCUCAUCGGGGUGAAGAGAGAUGCAAGUCUGCUCUAAGGCAUCAGAGGAGCUGUGGUCAUGCUGCCCAGGGAGACUGACAGUUCUGCCUUCUUCUGAGAAGCAGCACUUUGACUGCCUGGUCCUGGGUGAUUUAAAGAAGACACACCGAGAUGGCCCAGGCAGCCCUUGCCCUGCCUGGACUGGCCUGCCAGGCUGAAUACAAGUAGUGAGAACAGAGAUCCUUGUCUUACUCCUAAGCUUAGGGAAUUGUUUUCCAGACCCAAGACUUGGACAUUUUUAUAGAUUAAGGGAAAGGAAUCAAUGGGGAAGGAGACUUAAGGACAUGCACAGAAGGGGGGAUAACUGACAAAGUAAGAUCCAGGGGAGGCCAGUGGAAGGAAGGUGGUCACUUCCUCCAGAGACGGGAGGAAAACCAAAAGGGAAUAAUAUAGGUGAGGCUGGUGUUAGGGGAGGAUAGCGGUCCUUCACAGAACAGUCUCUCUUCCCAGUGAGGAGGUCAUUGUGGGGACAAGAGUAGGGCUAUGGGCUUGAAGCAAAGAGUAAAAAUGGGAACUUGCUAUUGGCAGGGAAGGAACUCAGGCCAGCUGGUGAAAGGAUGAUCAGCCAGGGGGACAGGCCAGGGCUUGUCUGUCUUUUCUGUGCCACCACUCGAGUGUCUCUUCUGCCUUUGAGUUCUGUCUCACUGACUCUUCGCUGUUUCUCUCCUGGUAUUAUAUAGGAAUAUCUGGAAGCUGAAAUAAUACUGAAAAUGGAUUAUAUCAGUUGAAGGCACAUUUCUUGAUCUUAAAGUUGGAUGUUUGAUAUGUUUCUUCUUCAAAAAACGGAGUUGACUAAUUGUCUUCUUUGCUAUACUCUCCUUAAUAGAAGACAGAACCCACCUCCCUAUUUCCAAUUUUUA